GGGUCAGUAGGUUGGUCGUGCCACCGGUACGUACUGGUCUCACUGAUUCCUCCUUCCUGAAGAACCGUAAUGCCAUUAAUUCGGUGUUGCGGGGAAACAGGACUGUUGCUUUGAAAAAAUUAGAGUGUUUAAAGCAAGCUAACGCUUGAAUACAUUAGCAUGGAAUAAUGAAAUAGGACGAUCGAUCCUAUUUUGUUGGUUUCUAGGAUUGACGUA
rnacentral:rRNA from 1 species